ensembl:snoRNA
GGCUUCCUGGUGCUUACCACAGGCUGUGUUCUUACAUUGAUUGUACAGAAAGAGGAGGGAAAGUAAACCCACCCCAUAUACAUCUCAGUCCAGGCCCUGUACCUGGUCUGUAUUUUGGAUUGGAAGACAUGG